rnacentral:rRNA from 2 species
UAGGGAAUCUUCGGCAAUGGACGGAAGUCUGACCGAGCAACGCCGCGUGAGUGAAGAAGGUUUUCGGAUCGUAAAGCUCUGUUGUAAGAGAAGAACGAGUGUGAGAGUGGAAAGUUCACACUGUGACGGUAUCUUACCAGAAAGGGACGGCUAACUACGUGCCAGCAGCCGCGGUAAUACGUAGGUCCCGAGCGUUGUGCGGAUUUAUUGGGCGUAAAGCGAGCGCAGGCGGUUAGAUAAGUCUGAAGUUAAAGGCUGUGGCUUAACCAUAGUACGCUUUGGAAACUGUUUAACUUGAGUGCAAGAGGGGAGAGUGGAAUUCCAUGUGUAGCGGUGAAAUGCGUAGAUAUAUGGAGGAACACCGGUGGCGAAAGCGGCUCUCUGGCUUGUAACUGACGCUGAGGCUCGAAAGCGUGGGGAGCAAACAGG